rnacentral:rRNA from 1 species
GACGGACGCUGGCGGCGUGCCUAAUACAUGCAAGUAGAACGCACAGUUUAUACCGUAGCUUGCUACACCAUAGACUGUGAGUUGCGAACGGGUGAGUAACGCGUAGGUAACCUGCCUGGUAGCGGGGGAUAACUAUUGGAAACGAUAGCUAAUACCGCAUAAUAUUAAUUAUUGCAUGAUAAUUAAUUGAAAGGUGCAAUUGCACCACUACCAGAUGGACCUGCGUUGUAUUAGCUAGUAGGUGAGGUAACGGCUCACCUAGGCGACGAUACAUAGCCGACCUGAGAGGGUGAUCGGCCACACUGGGACUGAGACACGGCCCAGACUCCUACGGGAGGCAGCAGUAGGGAAUCUUCGGCAAUAGACGAAAGUCUGACCGAGCAACGCCGCGUGAGUGAAGAAGGUUUUCGGAUCGUAAAGCUCUGUUGUAAGAGAAGAACGGGUGUGAGAGUGGAAAGUUCACACUGUGACGGUAUCUUACCAGAAAGGGACGGCUAACUACGUG